AAUUUUAUAGUUAAAUUAUAACAUUAAACUGCAAAUUUAAAAUUAUAAAGUAUAUUUAUUGAAAUUU
rnacentral:tRNA from 1 species